rnacentral:rRNA from 1 species
GAUGAACGCUGGCGGCGUGCCUAAUACAUGCAAGUCGAGCGAACAGACGAGGAGCUUGCUCCUCUGACGUUAGCGGCGGACGGGUGAGUAACACGUGGAUAACCUACCUAUAAGACUGGGAUAACUUCGGGAAACCGGAGCUAAUACCGGAUAAUAUAUUGAACCGCAUGGUUCAAUAGUGAAACACGGUUUUGCUGUCACUUAUAGAUGGAUCCGCGCCGCAUUAGCUAGUUGGUAAGGUAACGGCUUACCAAGGCAACGAUGCGUAGCCGACCUGAGAGAGUGAUAGGCCACACGAGAACUGAGACACGGUCCAGACUCCUACGGGAGGCAGCAGUAGGGAAUCUGACGCAAUGGGCGAAAGCAUGACGGAGCGACGCCGAGUGAGUGAUGAAGGUCUUCGGAUCGUAAAACUCUGUUAUUAGGGAAGAACAAAUGUGUAAGUAACUAUGCACGUCUUGACGGUAACUAAUCAGAAAGCCACGGCUAACUACGUG